rnacentral:misc_RNA from 1 species
GAUGAAGAACGCAGCGAAAUGCGAUAAGUAAUGUGAAUUGCAGAAUCCAGUGAAUCAUCGAAUCUUUGAACGCACAUUGCGCCCGCCCGCAUUCUGGCGGGCAUGCCUGUUCGAGCGUCAUUUCAACCCUCGACCUCCCUUUGGGGAAGUCGGCGUUGGGGACCGGCAGCACACCGCCGGCCCUGAAAUGGAGUGGCGGCCCGUCCGCGGCGACCUCUGCGUAGUAAACCAACUCGCACCGGAACCCCGACGUGGCCACGCCGUAAAACACCCAACUUCUGAACGUUGACCUCGAAUCAGGUAGGACUACCCGCUGAACUUAAGCAUAUCAAUAAGCGGAGGA